AUGGGCCUCUUGUGCCGAGGCCAAGGCGAGCAAGAGUUUGCGGUGGCAGAGCUCUGCGUUUUUAAGUCCGUCCACUCGGAGGUCUAUGCUGACAUUUGUUUGCUGCGCUCCUCCACGUCCGCUGGCCCCAUACUUGGCGGCGAAUGGAACUCCAUGCGUCUACCAAUCCCUGGCAUCGACAAUGUCAAUGAUCCUUGGCAGCUCUGUUGCUGGGACACCGACGCCAUGGUCCCCUUCAACCGCUCGCUUUGCUGGAUCGACUACCACCGCGGCAUCCUCAUCUUCGACGUCUUCGGAGAGCACAUCCCUACCGUCACCUUCCUCGCGCUCCCUCUUGAUGAGUUCCCUUCUCCUCACACUCACCGUGAAAUCAAGCCAUUCAGCUGGUUAUACCGGGGUGUGUCCGCCAUCGAUGAUGGCCGUGUGCUCAAGUUUGUGAAUGUCACCCGCCAUGAUGGCAUUGGUCACGGGGAACUCAAAUCUGGUUCGGGCUUCACCAUCACCUGCCACACUCUCGCAUUAGGUAGCAUGGUGUGGGAAUUAGACUACACGAUCACUUCAGCUGAGCUCUGGUCUUCCAAAGUUCCAAUCCGCACCUUCCACACACCAUCCUUAUGUUUCCUCAAGUAA
rnacentral:rRNA from 1 species